rnacentral:rRNA from 1 species
UACGUAGGGUGCAAGCGUUGUCCGGAAUUAUUGGGCGUAAAGAGCUCGUAGGCGGUCUGUCACGUCGGCUGUGAAAACCUGGGGCUCAACCCCGGGCCUGCAGCCGAUACGGGCAAGCUAGAAUUCGGUAGGGGAAACUGGAAUUCCUGGUGUAGCGGUGAAAUGCGCAGAUAUCAGGAGGAACACCGGUGGCGAAGGCGGGUCUCUGGGCCGAUAUUGACGCUGAGGAGCGAAAGCGUGGGGAGCGAACAGG